rnacentral:lncRNA from 1 species
GCGCCGGGCGUCUGCACUCGGGAGGCCCCGCUUGUUCCCCGCGCCCGCGGCGGUCCGCGUUCCCCGCCUCCAGCCCGCCUCCAACUUGCGGCCGCCGGGCUUGGCUGCGAGAGCGCCGCGAAGAGGCAGCGGGGCGCGGGUGGAUUGGGGCUGGAGGUGCGCGUCCCGUGGGGUGGCAAGGCGGCAGCUCCUGGCGCUGCGGGCGUCCCCACAGGAACAGACUUUGACCCAGAACACAGAACCUCACUUGUCAACAAGAACCUUCUGGAAGAGAAGACUGGCAGAAUAUUUUUUAAGUACUAAGACUUGCCUGCGAUGUGGUCUCUGCACAUAGUACUAAUGAGGUGCUCCUUCAGAUUGACCAAGUCCUUGGCCACAGGUCCCUGGUGAGUAUCCUCAGUGUGAUUGCCUGCUUUUAUUUAGUAAUUUCUACUCAAUGUUUGUUCUAUGGAUGUAAACCGUCUGAAUGCUUAAUAUGUCAAAAAGCCAAAUCAUUCCAGAAAGCUAAGGGUAUGUCUGCCAUUUCAUGACUCAUUUUUAUUAUUGAACACCAACCCUCUCAAUUUUCCCUGAAAUGCAUCCACAAAAUCACCAAAUGGGAAGUUGCACAAGGAAAGGCCCCAGAUUCUUGCUCGCUUACUCACUAGGUUUGAAUAGCAAAAGACAUAUGCCCAAAGUUUCAGGGUCCCUAUAACUAGAAGAGUUAGGACAGACUACUUCACAAGUACAGAUUAAUAACACCCCCAGCCCUCCACAGAUGUCCACGUCUUAAUCUCUGGAAUCUGUGAAUAUGUUAUGUCACAUGGCAAGAUGGCAAGGGGUAAUUAAAGCUACGGAUAGAAUUAUGGUUCCUAAUCAGCUGACAUUGAGAUAGAGGAGUUGACCUGAGCUUGACUAUCUGGAUGGGCCCAAUAUAAUGACAAGCAUCCUUGGAAGUGAAGGAGAGAAGCAGGAGAGCAGUCGGAGAAGGAGCUUUGACUACAAAAACAGAGGCCAGCGGGAUGCAGCAAGAGAGACGCAACUGGCCACUGCUGGCUCUGAAGGUUGAGGGGGACCAGGAGCCAAGGAAUGUGGGCAGCCUCUAGAAUCUGGAGAAGGCAAGGAAUCA